rnacentral:SRP_RNA from 1 species
GCGACGACGCGUGGGGCUCAAGUGCUGACAUGCUCCGCGGUGUGAUUCUGCAACGGCAGACGUGCGCGGGGUGGGCUGUUCCGUUGCCGGCCUGACCCUCUUCCCCUACUUUAACGGCGGACGCGCAGCACCCCUCUGCAGGGGGGCACGCCGCACCGACACACAGCCAAGCAGAGCACCGCGUCAACGCAGCAGAACACCCUUGCUGGUCCACGUCCUCCCCGCUCCACCUAAGAAGCCCCCGAAGGUUACAGAGCA